CAUAGUUAUUUCCUCCCCUAUCAUACCUCUUCACAACGAGCCUUUGUGGCUCCUCCCGUCAACAGAUGGAGUCUAUUUCUCCACCCCUUGAAUCCACGCUGGUCUUGCGACUUGGCCAAUAGAAUGUGGUGCAAUCCAGCCCAGGCCUCAAGAGGCUCAGCACACUUCCAUUGCUCCCUUGGAAAUCUGCCCAGCCUGUGCUCUGAACAUGCCUGGGCCAGUCUCCCGGAGGAGGUGAGAAUGUAAAGCAGAAGGAGCCAUUCCUGCUGAGACCAUCGGGACCAGCUAGUGCCCAGCUGAGCUGGCAGCUUGCUCCAGAUGCAGAGGCGAGGCCCAGUUGAGGCCACCUGAGCCCAACCCAGAUCCAAAGAACCAUUCAGACCAUCCACAGACUUUUCUGGAGCUGGGAAGUGCAAGACUGAGGAGCUGCAUCUGAUGAAGGCCUUCCUGCUGGUGGGGCCUCUCUGCAGAGUCCUGAGGUGCUGCAGGGGAUCUCGUGCAGAGGACUGCCGUGACAAACCACCAUAAACCUCGUGGCCAAUAACACAGAAAUUCAUCCUCUCAUGGUUCUGAGGGCCAGAAGUCCAAUGUCAAGGUGUCAGCUGGGCCGUGCCCCUCCACAGGUUCCAGAGAAGAUCUUCCCUUUCCUCUUCUGGCUUCCAGUGGCCUUGGGCACUCCUUGGCUUGCGGCUGCAUCAGUCUGUUCCUGCUUCCAUCUUCCCAAGGCCUCUCCCCUCUCACUUAUGAGUCUCUCCUCUGCAUAUCUGUGAUGAGGACAUUUAUUAUUAUAUUUAGAGCCCACCUGGAUAAUCCAAAAUGAUCUCAUCCUGACACUCUUCACUGAAUUAUAUCUGCGGAGUCCUUAUUUUCCAAAUAGGGUCACACUCACAGGUUCUGGGCUUUAGAACAUGAACGCAGCCUUUGCGUUUGGGAAGGGAGCGCUAGUCAGCCCUUUCUGGAGGGUUCUUAUGAUCAGGUACUUGGCAACGUCCUCAGAUGCUCAGUGAGGUCGCACCUGCAAGCAAAGCCCCCGGUUCUAGUCCUGACAGCAAAGGUGAUCGCCCUGGAUCUUGGACCUCAGUCUGCUCAUCUGCAGAAUGGCUAGAUGAGCUCGAGGGUUUCUUCCUUUUGGCACAUUCCCAGAGCAGAUCCUGUGGGUCCCUCGGCAUCUGUGCUGCUGAUUUGGAUCUACUCCAGGGCUUCACAAAUAUACAUAUCUGUAUACAUACAACAUAUAGUUUAUUGUAGUUAAAUAUACAUAACAUAAAAUUCACCAUAUUAACCUUUUCAUUUUGUUUUGAGUCAGGGUCUUGUUCUGUCACCCAGGCUGGAGUGCAGUGGCACCAUCAUGGCUCACUGCAGCCUUGACCCGCUUCAGCCUCCUGAGCAGCUAGGACUGCAGAUGUGCACCACCACGCCCAGCUAACUCUUGUAGUUUCUUGUAGAGACAGAAUCUCAUUAUGCUGCCCAGUCUGGUCUCAGACUUGUGGGCCCAAGCAAUCCACCUGCUCAGCCUCCCAAAAUGCUGGGAUUACAGGCAUGAGCCACUGUGCCUGGCCCCACUUUAACCAUUUUUAAGAGUGAAAUUCAGUGGCACUAAGCACUUUCACAUGGUUAAUGCAGCCAUCACCCAUUACCCAUAUCAUCUUUCACAAAGAGGAAACAAGAUCAUUCUCAGGCUCUGGGACCUCAGGGUGUCCAUCAUGGGUAGAUCGUCUUCUGGAUGAUGUCUCCACCACAGAGUUCACAUCCUGGUGGAGAUGCAAAGAUCAGGAUGUCAGAAAGGAGGCAGACAGGUCUGGGAACAGCGGCGAACCCACAGCAAUACCUCCAGCUCCUCCUCCUGCAGGCUCUGCCCCAUCUUGUUGCCAUGUCAUCUCCUUGCUGUCCACCCAUGCUCUUUUUUCCCCUCUGGACCAGCGGUUCUGAAAGUCUGGUCCCUGGACCAGCAGCAUCAGCACCUCCUGGGAGCUUGUUAGAAAAGCACAUUCUCUGUGUCCACGCCCUACCCACUAAUCAGAAAUGAGGGUGCCGCAUGGUGGCUGUUUCACAGCCCUCCUGGGAUUCUGAUCCAUACUAAAGUGUGGGAAGCACUGCUCUGGAUCUGCAGAGAAAUCCUGCUUUCAAAGAACUCGCUAACGCCCCUACAAAACUACAAUUUUUGUGACUAGAAGCUCUAUGAAUACCUGAAACAAGGAAGCCGACAGAUUUAGUAAGAUCAUGCAGGUCAUGAUGGCAAAUGGGCUGCCCGAAGGCAGGGCUUUCCCCUGGGUGUCUGCAUUUGUCCUGCACACGUUUGAGAACAUUUAAUUAGUUGUCAGUGCUAAAGAAAUAGGAAAUAUCACCCAGAAAUUAAGAUUUCGGUAUUAUUUGAAAUAAUACUGUCUGGCACUCCUGGCCAGGCAUGGGCAACCAUGAUUUGAUGCAGGGUCUGCCAGGCAGCCCAAGUCCCCCCACUCCCCAAGGCAAGCCCGCCUGGUGAGCCCCCCAUUUUUAUCUGCACUGACUACUAUAGGGCCUUCGAGUUGUCAACCUCUCGAAGGUUUGGGGGGGCCAUAAACUGUAGCCCACUGUGAUGGUUAAUGUUACAUGUCAGCUUGGCUAGGCCAUGGCAUCCAAAUAUUUGGUCAAACACUAGUUUAGAUGUUGUGAAGAUAAUUUCUUUUAGGUGAGAGUAACAGUUAAAUCAGUGGACUUUGACAAAAGCAGAUUGCCCUCCAUAAUGUGGGUGGUCUCCAUUAUGUGGGUGGGCCUCGUCCCAUCAGUUGAAGGCCUUCAGAGUAAAAAGACUGACUCCCUGGAGGAAAGGGAGUUCUGCCAGCCUCCACAGUCACAUGAGCCAAUUCCUGAAAAUAGGCGUCUCUCUCUCUCUCUCUCUCCAUACAUGCACACACACAAACACACACACACAAACACACACAUCCCAAUGGUUCUAUGUCUCUGUAAAACCCUGAUGAACACCCCCACGCUGUGAGUAUUAUUAUUUGUUGGUGCCCCUGGACCAUUCAGGGACCAAGAGUUGUAAGAACUCUUCUUCUGUUUGCUGGCAGCUCUUAGGAAUACAUGCUUAUUGGCCAGGCACAGUGGCUCAAGCCUGUAAUCCCGGCCCUUUGGGAGGCCGAGGCGGGUGGAUCACAGUCAAGAGAUCGAGACCAUCCUGGUCAACAUGGUGAAACCCCGUCUCUACUAAAAAAUACAAAAACUUAGCUGGGCAUGGUGGCGCGUGCCUGUAAUCCCAGCUACCCGGGAGGCUGAGGCAGGAGAAUUGCCUGAACCCAGGAGGCGGAGGUUGCGGUGAGCCAAGAUCGCGCCAUUGCACUCCAGCCUAGGUAACAAGAACAAAACUCCGUCUCAAAAAAUAAAAAGGAACACAUGCUUAUUCAAACCAUGCCCUCAGAGAUGGAGGCUGCAGAGCUAAUGAGUAGUGGUAUAAUAAUAAUAAGAAAUAAAUAAUCCAUAAAAAUCAA